rnacentral:rRNA from 1 species
GACGGAGGAUGCAAGCGUUAUCCGGAAUGAUUGGGCGUAAAGCGUCCGCAGGUGGCAGUUCAAGUCUGCUGUCAAAGACCGGGGCUUAACUUCGGAAAGGCAGUGGAAACUGAACAGCUAGAGUAUGGUAGGGGCAGAGGGAAUUCCUGGUGUAGCGGUGAAAUGCGUAGAGAUCAGGAAGAACAUCGGUGGCGAAGGCGGCAUCCUGGACCGGUAUUGACACUGAGGCGCGAAAGCCAGGGGAGCAAACGGG